GACGAACGCUGGCGGCGUGCUUAACACAUGCAAGUCGAACGAUGAACCCGGAGCUUGCUCCGGCGGAUUAGUGGCGAACGGGUGAGUAACACGUGAGUAACCUGCCCUUGACUCUGGGAUAACUGCUAGAAAUGGUAGCUAAUACCGGAUACGACCCUCGGUGGCAUCACCAGGGGGUGGAAAGAAUUUCGGUCAAGGAUGGACUCGCAGCCUAUCAGCUAGUUGGUGAGGUAACGGCUCACCAAGGCGACGACGGGUAGCCGGCCUGAGAGGGUGACCGGCCACACUGGGACUGAGACACGGCCCAGACUCCUACGGGAGGCAGCAGUGGGGAAUAUUGCACAAUGGGCGCAAGCCUGAUGCAGCAACGCCGCGUGAGGGAUGACGGCCUUCGGGUUGUAAACCUCUUUUAGUAGGGACGAUAAUGACUGUACCGGGAGAAUAAGCCCCGGCUAACUUCGUGCCAGCCGCCGCCGUAA
rnacentral:rRNA from 1 species